GACAGAGGGUGCAAACGUUGUUCGGAUUUACUGGGCGUAAAGCGCGUGUAGGCGGCUUUGCAAGUCGGAUGUGAAAGCCCACGGCUCAACCGUGGAAGUGCAUCCGAAACUGCAUGGCUUGAGUCUCGGAGAGGAAGGUGGAAUGCUUGGUGUAGAGGUGAAAUUCGUAGAUAUCAAGCAGAACACCAGUGGCGAAGGCGGCUCACUGGCCCGAUACUGACGCUGAGGCACGAAAGCGUGGGGAGCAAACAGGG
rnacentral:rRNA from 1 species